UACAGAGGUCUCAAGCGUUGUUCGGAUUCAUUGGGCGUAAAGGGUGCGUAGGCGGCCGCCUAAGUCAGACGUGAAAUCCCUCGGCUCAACCGGGGAACUGCGUCUGAUACUGGGUGGCUUGAAUUCGGGAGAGGGAUGCGGGAAUUCCGAGGUGUAGCGGUGAAAUGCGUAGGAUAAUCUGGAGGAACACCGGUGGCGAAGGCGGCGA
rnacentral:rRNA from 1 species